rnacentral:tRNA from 1 species
GCAUGGCUGGUUCAAUUGGAAGAACAUGAGACUCUUGAUCUCCGGGUCAUGAGUUCAAACCCAUAUUAGGUA